rnacentral:rRNA from 1 species
AGGACGAACGCUGGCGGCGUGCUUAACACAUGCAAGUCGAGCGGAAAGGCCCUUCGGGGUACUCGAGCGGCGAACGGGUGAGUAACACGUGAGUAAUCUGCCCCUAGCUCUGGGAUAGCUCCGGGAAAACCGGGAUUAAUACCGGAUACGACCACUUUAGACAUCUGUUGUGGUGGAAAGAAUUUUGGCUAGGGAUGAGCUCGCGGCCUAUCAGCUUGUUGGUGGGGUAAUGGCCUACCAAGGCGACGACGGGUAGCCGGCCUGAGAGGGCGACCGGCCACACUGGGACUGAGACACGGCCCAGACUCCUACGGGAGGCAGCAGUGGGGAAUAUUGCGCAAUGGGCGAAAGCCUGACGCAGCGACGCCGCGUGGGGGAUGAAGGCCUUCGGGUUGUAACCCCGUUUCAGCAGGGACGAAGCGAAAGUGACGGUACCUGCAGAAGAAGCGCCGGCUAACUACGUGCCAGCAGCCGC